rnacentral:rRNA from 1 species
ACGGCGAGUGAAAAGGGAUGAGCCCAGCGCUGAAUCUCUCGGUCUAAGGCCGCUGAGAACUGUAGCGUAUAGGUUUGACUAUCUGUUUGCUAUGUAUUCUCCAAGUUCCUUUGAUAGGGGCCAGUUCAGUCCCGAGAGGGUGCUAGACCUGUGCGAGAAUUGUAGUGAGCAGUUGGUUGUUCCUUGGAGUCGUGUUGCUUGAAAGUGCAGCAUAAAGUAGGUGAUAGACUUCAUCUAAGGCUAAAUAUAACCAUGAAUUCGAUAGCUAACAAGUACCGCGAGGGAAAGUUGCAAAGAACUUUGAAGAGAGAGUUCAAGAGAACGUGAAAUCGCUGGAGUAUGCGGAGAGAGUUGACGUAACCCGGUAGCUAAGUUGUUCUUCGGAGCGAUGGUGCUGCUUAUGGUUGCAUUGGUGGCGUUGGUUAACAACGACAGCUGCGUAGUUUAGCCCACUUCGGUGGUGUCUAUCUUGUGGUCUUGUUGUUGUCGGCUAGCGUGUAAGCCCUGUUCACAGG